CACCUCUAGCAUAACAAUUAUUAGAGGCACUGCCUGCCCAGUGACAUAUGUUUAACGGCCGCGGUACCCUGACCGUGCAAAGGUAGCAUAAUCAUUUGUUCUCUAACUAAGGACUUGCAUGAAAGGCUUAACGAGGAUUUUACUGUCUCCUACUUCCAAUCAGUGAAAUUGACCCCCCCGUGAAGAGGCGGGGAUAAACCUAUAAGACGAGAAGACCCUAUGGAGCUUAAAUUAACUAGCCUAAUUGCACCCACACCCACCCAACAGGAAAAACCACCAACAACCUAGGCUAGCAAUUUCGGUUGGGGUGACCUCGGAGCAUAAACAAACCUCCGAAUGACUAAUCACUUAGACCUAACUAGUCAACAUACUUCAAUAUCACUAAUUGACCCAAGCAAUUGAUCAAUGGAACAAGUUACCCUAGGGAUAACAGCGCAAUCCUAUUUCAGAGUCCAUAUCGACAAUAGGGUUUACGACCUCGAUGUUGGAUCAGGACAUCCAAAUGGCGCAACAGCUAUUAACGGUUCGUUUGUUCAACGAUUAAAGUCCUACGU
rnacentral:rRNA from 1 species